rnacentral:rRNA from 1 species
GACGAACGCUGGCGGCGUGCCUAAUACAUGCAAGUCGAACGCAGUGGGGCCGGGUGAGUAACACGUGGGUAACCUCCCAUCAGAGGGGAUAACCCUUGGAAACAGGUGCUAAACCGAUACUGAUGGAUGGACCCGCGGUGCAUUAGCUAGUUGGGGAGGUAACGGAUCCCAAAGGCCACGAUGCAUAGCCGACCUGAUAGGGGGAGAGGCAACAGUGGGACUGAGACACGGCCAAGACUCCUACGGGAGGCAGCAGGAGGGAAUCUUCGGCAAUGGACGAAAGUCUGACCGAGCAACGCCGCGUUAGUGAAGAAGGUUUUCGGAUCGUAAAACUCUGUUGUUAGAGAAGCGGUAUCUAACCAGAAAGCCACGGCUAACUACGUGCCAGCAGCCGCGGUAAUUC